rnacentral:rRNA from 1 species
AGAAGUUUCGUAGUCCUCGGCGUCACGGAUAAAACGACUGGCGGCGCGACAUAAGACAUGCAAGUCGAACGAACUUAACCCUUUGUUUUACAUUGGGUAGCGGUUAGUGGCGGACUGGUGAGUAACACGUAAGCAACCUGCCUAUUAGAGGGGAAUAACAGUGAGAAAUCAUUGCUAAUACCGCAUAUGCUCACAGUAUCACAUGAUACAGUGAGGAAAGGAGCAAUCCACUAAUAGAUGGGCUUGCGUCUGAUUAGCUAGUUGGUGGGGUAACGGCCUACCAAGGCGACGAUCAGUAGCCGGACUGAGAGGUUGAACGGCCACAUUGGGACUGAGAUACGGCCCAGACUCCUACGGGAGGCAGCAGUCGGGAAUAUUGCGCAAUGGAGGAAACUCUGACGCAGUGACGCCGCGUAUAGGAAGAAGGUUUUCGGAUUGUAAACUAUUGUCGUUAGGAAAGAUAAAAGACAGUACCUAAGGAGGAAGCUCCGGCUAACUAUGUG